rnacentral:rRNA from 1 species
UACGUAGGGUGCAAGCGUUAAUCGGAAUUACUGGGCGUAAAGCGUGCGCAGGCGGUGAUGUAAGACAGGUGUGAAAUCCCCGGGCUUAACCCGGGAACUGCAUUUGUGACUGGCGAGCUAGAGUAUGGCAGAGGGGGGUAGAAUUCCACGUGUAGCAGUGAAAUGCGUAGAGAUGUGGAGGAAUACCGAUGGCGAAGGCAGCCCCCUGGGCCAAUACUGACGCUCAUGCACGAAAGCGUGGGGAGCAAACAGG